UAGGGCGUAGUGUAAUUGGCAACACGGCAGUCUCCAAAACUGCAAUUUGGGGUUCAAGUCCCUGCGUCCUAGCCA
rnacentral:tRNA from 1 species